rnacentral:rRNA from 1 species
GAUGAACGCUGGCGGCGUGCUUAACACAUGCAAGUCGAACGAAGCACUUUAUUUGAUUUUUUCGGAAUGAAGAUUUUGUGACUGAGUGGCGGACGGGUGAGUAACGCGUGGGUAACCUGCCUCAUACAGGGGGAUAACAGUUGGAAACGACUGCUAAUACCGCAUAAGCGCACAGGGUCGCAUGACCUGGUGUGAAAAACUCCGGUGGUAUGAGAUGGACCCGCGUCUGAUUAGCCAGUUGGUGGGGUAACGGCCUACCAAAGCGACGAUCAGUAGCCGACCUGAGAGGGUGACCGGCCACAUUGGGACUGAGACACGGCCCAAACUCCUACGGGAGGCAGCAGUGGGGAAUAUUGCACAAUGGGGGAAACCCUGAUGCAGCGACGCCGCGUGAGCGAAGAAGUAUUUCGGUAUGUAAAGCUCUAUCAGCAGGGAAGAAGAAAUGACG